ensembl:lncRNA
AUGGUUUCUACUUUAUUAAGAAUGCACUUUGGCACCCCCUUUUAUUUUCUUCACUUUAGGCUAUUAUUUUACAAACUAGAUAUAAAAGGACAUAAAUAAAUGACAUAAGUUACAUGUACCUAGAGCUCCUUGACAAAAACAACAAACAAGGCAAAGAAAGAAAAACAUGUCAUCAUGUCAAAUAAAAAAUGACAAAUAAAGAUUGAGAGAACGUUAGAUCUACAUGUUUAGAUCAUAUGGCAACGGAAGGCAUACGAUGACAAACAUUAACUCUGGCUUUUUGUUACUUGUUUUUUUUUUUUGUUUCUUCAAAUGUCCAACAUUUAAGUAAAGGAAAGAAGUAUUUUACAGUACAUUCUGGUUUCCUUCUCCUUCCCAACAUGUCUUGCAUAUUUUCCAAACAGGUCCUUUUUUCUUUUCGAAUAAAGAGAAAAAAAAACCCUAAAAGAACGACGCAUUGCCAAAGAACGAAGAAAGAGCAGUAGAGCUGUAUUAAGGACGGAGGUGUUGUAUUAUAUGACGAGUUCAGAAACAUUCGCAUAAGUAUAGUUUCAAGGGAAAAACAAGGAUAUAGUCCGGUGGGUUAAACCUGUAUGAUGUGCUCUGAGAAAAAUACAAAUAAAAUAACCCAUCAGAUUUCCCUCCUUAGACACCUUCACCUCACUGCUCGGAUCUUCCUCCAGGGGCGUCAUCUCAAACUGUUACCACGGAGACGGAGCUCCUCCCCCCCCCCGUGCGUCCACAGAUAAAUGCCACUGCUGACCAAGUUUUUGUUGAUUUUCUUAAUGACACGAAAGCGGGAAAAAAAGAAAAGAAAGAAAUAACAGUCCAGUUUUUCACGUUUAAAAACUGUAAAUUUCUGUCAUCUUCACUUCCUCGAAAGUGGCUUUAAAACCGACACAAUUACUGAUAGUACUUCAAAGACGUUUUCACUCACACACACACACACACACACACACACACACACACACACACACACACACGAGUCAUUCGCACGCUCAAAACAAACGUUUGUUACUUUACACAUAACACAACAAAACAAUGAAAAUAGAAAGUAAAAAAAACUAAAAUGUAACUUUCAAAAUAAAAGUACAUUGUCCACUGGAGCAGGGCUUCUCCAUUAUAUUACAUUCUUUGUAGUGUCUUUUUUAUUUUCAAGCUGUCAAAAUCAUUCAUAGUAAUUCCAGCCCGUUCGCUGGAUGACCACGAGACUCUGGUCCGCCGGGUCGACGUGUUGCGGCGUCCCGGACGCACGAGGGUGUGAUUUUAUUUUUUCUUCUAAAUUUCAUCCUCGGCGUCGGAAGGAGACUCGAAUGAGUCGGCAGGGGGGGGAGGGGUGAAUGGAAGAAUCCAAAUUGUGUGUUUUCUCAGAGGUUCGGGAGGACAUUUUGUUCGGGAAGACAGGGGAGUGGGACGGCUCCUCUG